rnacentral:rRNA from 1 species
UACGUAGGGUGCGAGCGUUGUCCGGAAUUACUGGGCGUAAAGAGCUCGUAGGUGGUUUGUCGCGUUGUUUGUGAAAUCUCACGGCUUAACUGUGAGCGUGCGGGCGAUACGGGCAGACUAGAGUACUGCAGGGGAGACUGGAAUUCCUGGUGUAGCGGUGGAAUGCGCAGAUAUCAGGAGGAACACCGGUGGCGAAGGCGGGUCUCUGGGCAGUAACUGACGCUGAGGAGCGAAAGCGUGGGGAGCGAACAGG